CAGAAAUGUCCCCUUCAACAUCCGAACGAGUUCCUGCUUCAGAACGUUUGCCUUCGCCAGUAAAUCCUCAAAGUAGCGAACCAGCGCAUGUCCAGGAUGCUGAAACUGUGUUGGACAAUGACCGUUUCGAAGAAGAAAAUGCAAAGCAGAAGAAAGACGCCGGAAAACGCAAGCCUGUUGACACAGGACGUGCGCCGGUUACACGAACGAAAAAGCCUAAGGUUCAGGAGC